rnacentral:lncRNA from 1 species
CACACUUUUUAAAGGUGUGGUAAUUUACCUGAGAAUCAGACACACUUUCAUCUUUCAACAGGCAGACAGCAGAGUUCUUCUUCUGUCCAGGACAGAGAGCAAGUUGCAAUGGGGGACACAGAGAAAGGGAAGAAGGCUUUUGUCCAGAAGUGUUCCCAGUGCCACACGGUGGAUGAGGGGGGACGACACAAGGUGGGACCUAACCUCUGGGGCCUGUUUGGCCGGAAGACAGGACAGUCACCUGGAUACUCCUACACACAGGCCAACACCAACAAGGGUGUAGUCUGGGAGGAGAAGACACUAAUGGUCUAUCUAGAGGACCCUAAGAAGUACAUCCCAGGUACCAAGAUGAUCUUUGCUGGUAUCAAGAAGAAGAAAGAGAGAGAGGACCUGAUAGCCUACUUAAAGGAUGCCACUUCGUAGACAGACACACGGCAUGCACACACACCGUAUGAUACUGUACACGCACACACACACACACACACACACACACACACACACACACACACACACACACACACACACACACACACACACACACACACACACACACACACACACACACACACACACAUUUCCUUCCUAUACAUGCACACCUCUCUAACACACACCUGUCAUUCUCUACUACCUUACUCCCACUCCUGGUACACAUGUUCUUCUGACACACAUAAGGACACACCUUAACACACAAACAAACAUACAGCACACUCUACUGUACACUACCACACACACUACAACCCACACUACCAUACACUACCAUACACUACCAUACACACUACCACACACACUACAACACACACUACUGUACGCUACCACACACACUACAACCCACACUACCAUACUCUACCAUACACACUACCACACACACUACAACACACACUACCAUACACUACCAUACACACUACCACACACACUACAACAUACUCUACUGUACACCACCACACACACUACCACACACACACACACACUACUAUUCACACUACCACACACACUACCAUACACUACCAUACACACUACCACACACACACUACCAUACACACUACCACACACACACACACUACUAUACACACUACCACACACACUACCACACACACUACCACACAUUACCACACACACACACACACUACCAUGCACAUGACAAUACACACUACCACACACACAUUACCAUACACACUACCAUACACACUACCACACACACUAACACACACUACCAUACACACUGCCACACACACUACCAUACACACUACCACAAACUACCACACACACUACCACACACACUACCAUACACACUGCCACACACUACCAUACACACUACCACACACACACACUACCACACACACUACCAUACACACUGCCACACACUACCAUACACACUACCAUACACACUACCACACACACUACCAUACACACUACCACACAUUACCACACACACACACACACACUACCAUGCACAUGACAAUACACACUACCACACACACAUUACCAUACACACUACCAUACACACUACCACACACACUACCACACACACUACCACACACACUACCAUACACACUACCACACACACUACAACACACACUACUGUACACUACCACACACACUACAACCCACACUACCAUACUCUACCAUACACACUACCACACACACUACAACACACACUACCAUACACUACCAUAUACACUACCACACACACUACAACACACUCUACUGUACACCACCACACACACUACCACACACACACACACACUACUAUUCACACUACCACACACACUACCAUACACUACCAUACACACUACCACACACACACUACCAUACACACUACCACACACACACACACUACUAUACACACUACCACACACACUACCAUACACUACCAUACACACUACCACACACACUACCACACACACUACCACACAUUACCACACACACACACACACUACCAUGCACAUGACAAUACACACUACCACACACACAUUACCAUACACACUACCAUACACACUACCACACACUACCACACAGAUUACCAUACACACUGCCACACACACUACCAUACACACUACCACACACUACCACACACACUACCACACACACUACCACACACACUACCAUACACACUGCCACACAUUACCAUACACACUACCACACACACACUACCACACACACUACCAUACACACUGCCACACAUUACCACACACACACACACACACACUACCAUGCACAUGACAAUACACACUACCACACACACAUUACCAUACACACUACCAUACACACUACCACACACACUACCACACACACUACCACACACUACCAUACACACUGCCACACACACUACCAUACACACUACCACACACUACCACACACACUACCACACACACUACCACACACACUACCAUACACACUGCCACACACUACCAUACACACUACCACACACACACACUACCACACACACUACCAUACACACUGCCACACACUACCAUACACACUACCAUACACACUACCACACACACUACCAUACACACUACCACACAUUACCACACACACACACACACACACUACCAUGCACAUGACAAUACACACUACCACACACACAUUACCAUACACACUACCACACACACUACCACACACACUACCACACACUACCAUAUACACUGCCACACACACUACCAUACACACUACCACACACUACCACACACACUACCACACACACUACCACACACACUACCAUACACACUGCCACACACUACCAUGCACACUACCACACACACACACUACCACACACACUACCAUACACAAUGCCACACACUACCAUACACACUACCAUACACACUACCACACACACUACCAUACACACUACCACACAUUACCACACACACACACACACUACCAUGCACAUGACAAUACACACUACCACACACACAUUACCAUACACACUACCAUACACACUACCACACACACUACCACACACACUACCAUACACACUACCAUACACACUACCACACACACUACAACACACACUACUGUACACUACCACACACACUACAACCCACACUACCAUACUCUACCAUACACACUACCACACACACUACAACACACAUUACCAUACACUACCAUACACACUACCACACACACUACAACACACUCUACUGUACACCACCACACACACUACCACACACACACACACACUACUAUUCACACUACCACACACACUACCAUACACUACCAUACACACUACCACACACACACUACCAUACACACUACCACACACACACACUACUAUACACACUACCACACACACUACCAUACACUACCAUACACACUACCACACACACUACCACACACACUACCACACAUUACCACACACACACACACACACACACACACACACACACACACACACACACACACACACACAC